GUCUGUGUCAUGGUGUGUGUCUGUGUGUCUCUGUCAUGGUGUGUGCAUCUGUGUCAUGGUGUGUGUGUGUCUGUCUGUGUCAUGCAAUGUGUGUCUGUGUCAUGGUGUGUGUGUCUCUGACUGUCAUGGUGUGUGCGUCUGUCUGUGUCACGGUCUGUCUGUGUCAUGGUGUGUGUCUGUGUGUUAUGGUGUGUCUGUGUCACGGUCUGUGUUAUGGUGUGUGUGUCAAGUUGCGUGUGUCUUUUAACGUGUGUCUGUCAUGGUAUGUGUGUGUCUCUGUCAUGGUGUGUGUGUGUCUGUCUGUGUCAUGGUGUGUCUGUCUGUCAUGGUGUGUCUGUGUUUCUGUCUGUGUCACGGUGUGUGUCUGUCAUGGUAUGUGUGUGUCUCUGUCAUGGUGUGUGUGUGUG